rnacentral:rRNA from 1 species
GCUCAGAUUGAACGCUGGCGGCAGGCUUAACACAUGCAAGUCGAGCGGUAGCACAGGGGAGCUUGCUCCCUGGGUGACGAGCGGCGGACGGGUGAGUAAUGUCUGGGAAACUGCCUGAUGGAGGGGGAUAACUACUGGAAACGGUAGCUAAUACCGCAUAACGUCGCAAGACCAAAGAGGGGGACCUUCGGGCCUCUUGCCAUCAGAUGUGCCCAGAUGGGAUUAGCUAGUAGGUGGGGUAAUGGCUCACCUAGGCGACGAUCCCUAGCUGGUCUGAGAGGAUGACCAGCCACACUGGAACUGAGACACGGUCCAGACUCCUACGGGAGGCAGCAGUGGGGAAUAUUGCACAAUGGGCGCAAGCCUGAUGCAGCCAUGCCGCGUGUGUGAAGAAGGCCUUCGGGUUGUAAAGCACUUUCAGCGAGGAGGAAGGUGGUGAACUUAAUACGUUCAUCAAUUGACGUUACUCGCAGAAGAAGCACCGGCUAACUCCGUGCCAGCAGCCGCGGUAAUACGGAGGGUGCAAGCGUCAACCGGAAUUACUGGGCGUAAAGCGCACGCAGGCGGUUUGUUAAGUCAGAUGUGAAAUCCCCGGGCUCAACCUGGGAACUGCAUUUGAAACUGGCAAGCUAGAGUCUCGUAGAGGGGGGUAGAAUUCCAGGUGUAGCGGUGAAAUGCGUAGAGAUCUGGAGGAAUACCGGUGGCGAAGGCGGCCCCCUGGACAAAGACUGACGCUCANGUGCGAAAGCGUGGGGAGUAAACAGGAUUAGAUACCCUGGUAGUCCACGCU